AGAGUUUGAUCAUGGCUCAGGAUGAACGCUGGCGGCGUGCUUAACACAUGCAAGUCGAACGAACCUUCGGGUUAGUGGCGGACGGGUGAGUAACGCGUGAGAAUCUGCCCUCAGGAGGGGGAUAACAGCUGGAAACGGCUGCUAAUACCCCAUAUGCCGCGAGGUGAAAUGAAUUUCGCCUGAGGAUGAGCUCGCGUUUGAUUAGCUAGUUGGUGUGGGUAAUGGCUCACCAAGGCAUCGAUCAGUAGCUGGUCUGAGAGGAUGAUCAGCCACACUGGGACUGAGACACGGCCCAGACUCCUACGGGAGGCAGCAGUGGGGAAUUUUCCGCAAUGGGCGAAAGCCUGACGGAGCAACGCCGCGUGAGGGAUGAAGGCCUCUGGGCUGUAAACCUCUUUUAUCAA
rnacentral:rRNA from 1 species